rnacentral:lncRNA from 1 species
AGAUGAGGAAACUGAGGACCAGAGAAAACAACUAGUUUUCCAGAGCUCUCACCAUUGACAUCUCCCUUCCAACUCUUGGCGCUUCUGCUAUCCAGAACCACAUCAGCUUCCUGAACAGACCAAUGUCCACCUGCACCUGGGCCUCUGCAUGUCUCUUUCCUCUGCCUCAAGAGUGGAUCCACACCUUCCUUCUUCUAAGUGUAAUUAAAGAGGCCCUUUGUGCCGCCUUCAGAUUUUUUUUUCUUGUCCCAACUUUUCCUGUGCUCUUGUCUCCGUGGAACUAUUCAUACAGGUCAGUAUCAUUUUCCUUCUAGAAAAUGAGUCCAUUGGAAAGCCUCCCGGUUAGCCAUAAAACUUGAGAUCCCAGGGAAAGAUGUGGUCUUUCUUGCUGGAGACUGACUCAGAGAUUAUUUUCAUGAAGCCAAGGAGUUUAAGCUCAGAGCCCCUCCCUUGUUUAAAUCCCCUCAAGGACCUGAGGGUAAGAACCCUAGUAUUGUGUCCUAGGGGCGAUAUAUUUUA